GUGCUCAUUUUUGCAGCACAUAUACUAAAAUUAGAAUGAUACCAUGAAUAUUAGCAUGUUCCAUGUACAAGGAUGACAUGAAAAUUAGUGCAUUCCAUAUAUUU
ensembl:snRNA Gm24388 U6 spliceosomal RNA